rnacentral:rRNA from 1 species
GGAGGGUGCAAGCGUUAAUCGGAAUUACUGGGCGUAAAGCGCACGCAGGCGGUUUGUUAAGUCAGAUGUGAAAUCCCCGGGCUCAACCUGGGAACUGCAUCUGAUACUGGCAAGCUUGAGCCUCGUAGAGGGGGGUAGAAUUCCAGGUGUAGCGGUGAAAUGCGUAGAGAUCUGGAGGAAUACCGGUGGCGAAGGCGGCCCCUGGACGAAGACUGACGCUCAGGUGCGAAAGCGUGGGGAGCAAACAGGAUUAGAUACCCUGGUAGUCCACGCCGUAAACGAUGUCGACUUGGAGGUUGUGCCCUUGAGGCGUGGCUUCCGGAGCUAACGCGUUAAGUCGACCGCCUGGGGAGUACGGCCGCAAGGUUA